UUUCCGUAGGUGAACCUGCGGAAGGAUCAUUACUGAGUUUUGAAGUGGGCUUGAUGCUGGCAUCUCUUCGGGGGUGUAUGUGCUCAGCCCCGCUCUCAAAUCCACUCAACACCUGUGCACUUUCAAAGUUGUAGUCCUCCGUAAUGGGAGUCGCAAGUCAUUCUUGGCUUGUUGGGACUGCACUUUGCCAUUUAUCACAAACAAAUUAUAUUGUUUUGUAGAAUGUCUAGCCUCUUAGUAGGUGAAACUUAAUACAACUUUCAACAACGGAUCUCUUGGCUCUCGCAUCGAUGAAGAACGCAGC
rnacentral:misc_RNA from 1 species